ACCUGGGAAGGAUCAUUAACGAAUAACU
rnacentral:rRNA from 1 species